AGUGAACGCUGGCGGUAGGCCUAACACAUGCAAGUCGAACGGCAGCACAGUAAGAGCUUGCUCUUACGGGUGGCGAGUGGCGGACGGGUGAGGAAUACAUCGGAAUCUACUUUUUCGUGGGGAUAACGUAGGGAAACUUACGCUAAUACCGCAUACGACCUACGGGUGAAAGCAGGGGAUCUUCGGACCUUGCGCGAUUGAAUGAGCCGAUGUCGGAUUAGCUAGUUGGCGGGGUAAAGGCCCACCAAGGCGACGAUCCGUAGCUGGUCUGAGAGGAUGAUCAGCCACACUGGAACUGAGACACGGUCCAGACUCAUACGGGAGGCAGCAGUGGGGAAUAUUGGACAAUGGGCGCAAGCCUGAUCCAGCCAUACCGCGUGGGUGAAGAAGGCCUGCGGGCUGUAAAGCCCUUUUGUUGGGAAAGAAAAGCAGCAGGUUAAUACCCCGCUGUUCUGACGGUACCCAAAGAAUAAGCACCGGCUAACUUCGU
rnacentral:rRNA from 1 species